GGGAAGCCGACUGAAGCUAUACGAGGGGGAAGUGUCAAGCAGGUGAAUUUCUAUGACGAUGAUGUACGCUUUUGGCAACUUUGGCGGAACCGUUCCGCAGCUGCUGAAGCUCCAUCAGCUGUCAACCAAGUUACAUCAGCAUUGAGUACCCCUGCCCCUUCAACAAAAGGGAGACACUUUCUAGUUAUCUGUUGUGAAAAUAAAGCCAUA
rnacentral:misc_RNA from 1 species